UUGGGGUGAAGUCGUAACAAGGUAGCCGUAUCGGAAGGUGCGGCUGGAUCACCUCCUUUCUAGGGAGA
rnacentral:rRNA from 1 species